rnacentral:rRNA from 1 species
UAUAAGUGAUGGCGACCGGCGCACGGGUGAGUAACACGUAUCCAACCUGCCGAUAACUCGGGGAUAGCCUUUCGAAAGAAAGAUUAAUACCCGAUGGUAUAAUAAAACACAUGGUUUAAUUAUUAAAGAAUUUCGGUUAUCGAUGGGGAUGCGUUCCAUUAGGCAGUUGGUGAGGUAACGGCUCACCAAACCUUCGAUGGAUAGGGGUUCUGAGAGGAAGGUCCCCCACAUUGGAACUGAGACACGGUCCAA